CUGGGCAUAUACAUGGGUGCUUCUCAAGGACUAACUAGUUGUAGAAGUCCUGGAUUGAAAGAUUGAUCACGAAUGCGAUGCUACUACAAUACAAAGUGAGGAAAUACAAUACUCAGUACUUGACCUCCACAUUUGAUCCUUUUGGCACUCAUGGGCUCUUUUCAUUGGAAGACUUUGAUGUCUCUCCUAAAUCAAGUAACAGAGUUAAUUAACCUGUCUAAAAGCUCACAAAUGGUGAAGCAGGGAUUUGAACCUUAGAAGUUUAACUUCAGAGUCUGAGCUUUUAACCAUGAAAAGAAAAGAUCACCCAGGAGACAGUCUACCCAUUUGCACUUGGGAAAGACUGGCAGCCCUGCCAGCUAUUUGGCAUAUGAAGGUCCUGACCUGAGAAAACCAUCUCGGAUAACCACGGCAAGAAGAAGGAAAAAUGCAACACCUAGGAGAUUUCAGUAAACAGUAGAAUCAUGCCAACCUAAUCUGUGUUAAAAUGCUUGGAAUGUGGGAGCCGCUGAUGAUGCCUGUUGUCUGUGUGUCUGACUGAAUCCUUUCUUUUCUCAGAGCAGCAAAGCAAAGCCUGGGAACCAGGCCAAAUGCCUGCCACUUACCUUAAAUUGAUCAGCCACUUUGAGAUUAAAACCCCUGAAAGCUGCCACACCGUGAAAACAAGGCCUCCUUCACAUUAAAGGCAAAU